rnacentral:rRNA from 1 species
AUUGAACGCUGGCGGCAUGCCUUACACAUGCAAGUCGAACGGUAACGGGCCUUCGGGUGCCGACGAGUGGCGAACGGGUGAGUAAUGCAUCGGAACGUACCUUUCAGUGGGGGAUAACGUAGCGAAAGUUACGCUAAUACCGCAUAUUCUGUGAGCAGGAAGGCAGGGGAUCGCAAGACAGUGCGCUGAUUGAGCGGCCGAUGUCAGAUUAGCUAGUUGGUGAGGUAAAGGCUCACCAAGGCGACGAUCUGUAGCGGGUCUGAGAGGAUGAUCCGCCACACUGGAACUGAGACACGGUCCAGACUCCUACGGGAGGCAGCAGUGGGGAAUUUUGGACAAUGGGGGCAACCCUGAUCCAGCCAUGCCGCGUGAGUGAAGAAGGCCUUCGGGUUGUAAAGCUCUUUCGGCCGGGAAGAAAUCGUAUGAGCUAAUACCCUGUGCGGAUGACGGUACCGGCAUAAGAAGCACCGGCUAACUACGUGCCAGCCGCCGCCGUAAUAC